rnacentral:lncRNA from 1 species
UGAACUUUGAUGCUGAGAUGGUUUUCUGGAGCUGUUUAUUGUCACUCUUUCUCUGGCUCAGAGGCCAUGCAGUA